UUUGAAUGUCGUGCUUCAUGUUCCGUCAAGGCCCAUCUAUCUGAGAAUUUCGCUGGACAAUGAGAACAAAUCAGUUGAUCCCCGUGUUUUCUCAUGUGGCGUGUUAGACAUCUUCUGUGAACAAUUUUAGAACAGAUGUCGCACUGAACUUUAGUUGUUUUUUGGCAAACCCUGUUGAUUUUCAUUAUUGUUUUCAUCUAAUUUGUCAUCAUCUUUAUGGAGUAAAACUACUGUUUCUUCAAUUAAAUCAGUAUCACCAACAGCUUCAAAUGACCCGUCUAAAGGAGCAAUAAAUGCAAUUGCCUC
rnacentral:lncRNA from 1 species